UUUGGGGAGUCUUGAUCCAGAGUAACCGCUAAGACUGAUGGAAGUGCAACGUCGCGUCCUCGUCCCACUGCAGUAGGGAUGCCUCUCAGCAUCUCAGGAGGAGCAGGCCGCGUGGGACAAGCACCAGGACCUGUUAUCACGUCCUGUUUGGAUCAAAGCACUGAACAAGAAUCCUGGGUAUAUCAAGCUCCAAAAGAUCCGGGCUGCCCAGAAAUCUCUAAGAUGAUCGCCACAUCACAGAACCGGAUCUAUCUCACAGCUGACAACCUUGUUCUGACUCUACAGGAAGAAAGCUUUACUCGGGGAAGUGACAGCCUCAUUAAGGGUAAGAAGUGAGUGUGGACAUCAAGAACCCCACCACCAGAGAAGUUGGCACACUUCUCCAGUUUGGAGGAGCCAGCUAGGGGGUCAAGCAUAACCCACCCUGACCCAAGCAUCAUGUGAUGGAUUCUUCUGUAUCUGCUCUCUUGGAUUAAGGAAGACUGAAGACCAACCCUUUCAGAGGGGUUUUCCUCCUUCCUGUAUUGGCGGGGGGGGGGGGGGGGGGGGGGGGGGGGAGAACAGGAGGCAGUGUGAUUUCUCAGUGAUUUCCUGUAGUGUUGUCCCUCUCCCUGAAUGGGGGGGAGAUAACCACCAUGCCAGGAAGUCUCAAUAAAAUUUUUAUUACUUAAA
rnacentral:sRNA from 1 species